CGUACGCAAUCUACCCAAAACUGAUGAAUAGCCCUCCGAAAGGAGGAUUAAUACAUCGUAACUUAAUGAAGUGGCAUCACUCUAUUAAUAUAGCUCCGGCGGUUUUGGAUGAGCGUGCGCCUGAUUAGGUAGUUGGCGGGGUAACGGCCUACCAAGGCGACGAUCGAUAGCUGGUCUCAGAGGAUGAUCAGCCAGACUGGGACUGAGACACGGCCCAG
rnacentral:rRNA from 1 species